rnacentral:rRNA from 1 species
GACGAACGCUGGCGGCGUGCUUAACACAUGCAAGUCGAACGGAAAGGCCCUGCUUUUGUGGGGUGCUCGAGUGGCGAACGGGUGAGUAACACGUGAGUAACCUGCCCUUGACUUUGGGUUAACUUCAGGAAACUGGGGCUAAUACCGGAUAGGAGCUCCUGCUGCAUGGUGGGGGUUGGAAAGUUUCGGCGGUUGGGGAUGGACUCGCGGCUUAUCAGCUUGUUGGUGGGGUAGUGGCUUACCAAGGCUUUGACGGGUAGCCGGCCUGAGAGGGUGACCGGCCACAUUGGGACUGAGAUACGGCCCAGACUCCUACGGGAGGCGGCAGUGGGGAAUAUUGCACAAUGGGCGGAAGCCUGAUGCAGCAACGCCGCGUGCGGGAUGACGGCCUUCGGGUUGUAAACCGCUUUCGCCUGUGACGAAGCGUGAGUGACGGUAAUGGGUAAAGAAGCACCGGCUAACUACGUG